CCGCUCGAAGCUCCUCCCCCGAAGCCCCGCCCACUGAAGCUCCUCCCAUUCUUCCUCCCUACCCCUCCUUCCCUCUCCUCCUCUCCUUCCUCCUUCUCCAUUUCCUCACCCUGGUUUUCUCCGGGCGUUCUGUCCAGUCUUCUACCUUCCUGGCCCUAGUGGCAGCCGUUGGGCGUCGCACCAUCCAAGGCAGAGGCACUGUACUUGGAACAUCUAGUUUUCAUAGCCAGUGAACAGGGCUGCCAGAAUUGAAGCUCUGGCCUGUCUUCCUCCAAAUCUUCCUUUCCAUGACACCCUGCUGCUUCCCAGCUAACUGGCUACACCCAAGGAAGAAAUGAUGCUUCUGCCUGCUAUGUCUUCAUUGAUAAAAAGGGACUCGGGACUGAAUGUCUGUAGAGCACUGUAAAACUCCUCACUUAACAUCAUUGUGUUUAAAAGAUUGUAAUUUUGAAUGGGGAAAUGGUGAUCAAGGCCACAGCUUAACUUGCAAAUGUCAAGAAUGCUCAUCAUCCUUUGUUACUUUGUGAUUGAUUAAUAUGUUGGAUUGCUGACUUGUUGCUAAUGAGCUAAUUUAUAAGCCCAGAGAGGAUCUGACUAUUAAUGUAGAAGUAACAAGCAAACAACAAAGUGCUGCUGAGCAGGUCUGUGAGCACAGCGCUGUCCACAGCCCCACUCAGGAUGGGUGAGAGAGAGGAAUGCACAAGCGGUACAUCCCCACCUUCUCAAAAGAGACAAGAGGAAUAAACUGGAGGCUCCUUUGGCAAUUAUUAGUAUUUCCCCACCGCUUACGAAGUCGCUGCAUGUAAUAUUAAGAAACCACCACUAAGUGGCACUGUCUCACCAGUGUUCUCUUUUACCAGCAUGAUGAAGCCACCGUCACCUUUGGAUGGUGGAAUACAUUUAUUGUCCUGUGUUUGCUGAUUUGGUUUUAGCAAAAUCUUUCUGCUCUCAUCAUGCUUCUCUGGCUUUUUCUAUAUCCUUUCUUCUGUUUUCCUUUAGUUCUUGGGAAUCUGGGCCAAUGAUAGGCAUAGAAAUGGUGGCCACCGUGGUGAUAAUAAUCAUAUUAGACAACUUAAAGGAAAGAAACACUGAUUGUGACCUUUUAUUGAAGUCUUAUUAUGUGUUAAGGGCUUUCCAGGUAUUACUACCAAGAUUCGUGAGAACUCUGUGAGGUUGCCUUAGUUUUAUGAGCAAAGAAACCAAGGUUCAGAGAAUUGAAGCAACUUUCCCAAGGAUACCCAACAAGUAGGUGAUAAAAGCACAACAUGAGUCCAAGUGCAUGUAAUGUUAAGGCAUUAAUGAUCUUUGGAUCAUUCAUGGAACUUAAACAUUGGGUACAGUGAGAAAAACAGGAAGAGGCUAGGC